rfam:Chromobacterium aquaticum strain CC-SEYA-1 NODE_84_length_22057_cov_29.701365, whole genome shotgun sequence.
GUAGAGCGACGGACUGUUAAUCCGCAGGUCGCAGGUUCGAGCCCUGCUCGGGGAG